CCUACGGGUGGCAGCAGUCGAGAAUCAUUCACAAUGGGGGAAACCCUGAUGGUGCGACGCCGCGUGGGGGAAUGAAGGUCUUCGGAUUGUAAACCCCUGUCAUGUGGGAGCAAAUUAAAAAGAUAGUACCACAAGAGGAAGAGACGGCUAACUCUGUGCCAGAAGCCGCGGUAAUACAGAGGUCUCAAGCGUUGUUCGGAAUCACUGGGCGUAAAGGGUGCGUAGGCUGUUUCGUAAGUCGUGUGUGAAAGGCGCGGGCUCAACCCGCGGACGGCACAUGAUACUGCGAGACUAGAGUAAUGGAGGGGGAACCGGAAUUCUCGGUGUAGCAGUGAAAUGCGUAGAUAUAGAGAGGAACACUCGUGGCGAAGGCGGGUUCCUGGACAUUAACUGACGCUGAGGCACGAAGGCCAGGGGAGCGAAAGGGAUUAGAUACCCCUGUAGUC
rnacentral:rRNA from 1 species